UGUCUCACUUUUUGUGACUUAAUCUACUUUCAUAGAAUUUUCGGUAUGUCAAAGUAAUAAAAAUGUUUGAAUUUAAUAAAAAUUGAGAAAAUAAAAAGUGAGUUUAGAUGUACAAAAUUUUAAAAAUUUCUAAUUUAGCUAUCUUUUUUGAACUCAAACAAAUUUAAUUAACAUUCUUGUUUUCAAAACGAAUAAAUUAAAAUUAAAUAAAAAUUGAAAAAAUAAAAAGUAAGGUUAUGGUGGGUACAAAAUUUGAAAAUAUUCCAGUUUUAGAUCACUUUUUUUGGAACUCAAGCAAAUAUAAUGAAAUUUCCUUUCAUUAAAAUUAACGAAAUUUGCUUUCAGCCAAAUUCAAUGAAAUUUUUGGAAAAUAAAAGUGGUGGCUUAUUUUCAAAAGCAAAUCAUGUCCUGCAAUCAUCCGAGACCCAACUGUAUUCAAAUUAAACACCUUAUUGUUAUCCUCUGCCAUGGCACUUUACAACCACUGCAGCUGACGUGAAAAAUUUAAUUGUUUGUAUGUGUGUAUGCAUGGAUGGCUGCGAUCGUGACACAUGACCUAUCCUGAACAUGUACAACACAUUACAUUGAGAAAAAAACAACCCCUAAAACAACAGUGGUGGGGACUGUACAUAAAAUUUUUCAAAAUUAGACAUCAAAGGAAACUCUUCUGGGAUGGCAUGGACACACAUAUUUGAAAAUGAAGUAAAACGAAAGAAAACUCUCUUGAAGACUCCUGCUGUGUCGCCACAACUGGCCCUUGCACAAUUCUCUAUAAUUUAUGUUUAGUAACCUUUAACCAUUUUCUUUAUAUUUAUUUACUUGUUAUGUAUAAUGAAACAGGCAGGAUCAUAAUA